rnacentral:rRNA from 1 species
UACGAAGGGGGCUAGCGUUGUUCGGAAUUACUGGGCGUAAAGCGCGCGCAGGUGGUCUUUCAAGUCAGUGGUGAAAGCCCGGAGCUCAACUCCGGAAAUGCCAUUGAAACUGUGAGACUUGAGGACGAGAGAGGUGAGUGGAAUUCCCAGUGUAGAGGUGAAAUUCGUAGAUAUUGGGAAGAACACCGGUGGCGAAGGCGGGUCUCUGGGCCGUAACUGACGCUGAGGAGCGAAAGCGUGGGGAGCGAACAGG